AUUUAUAUAGUAUAAAAAGUAUAUUUGACUUCCAAUCAAAAAGUCUAUCUAUUUAGUAUAAAUA
rnacentral:tRNA from 1 species